rnacentral:tRNA from 1 species
UCCGAGUUAGUAUAUCGGCUAGUAUAUCCGCCUUUCAUGUUCGUCAGAGGGGCGCGGAGGAGACGGGUUCGAUUCCCGUACUCGGAA